UACGUAGGGGGCAAGCGUUGUCCGGAUUUAUUGGGCGUAAAGAGCUCGUAGGUGGUUCGGUAAGUCGGAUGUGAAAUCUCCAGGCUCAACCUGGAGGGGUCAUUCGAUACUGCCGUGACUAGAGUUCGGUAGGGGAGUGUGGAAUUCCUGGUGGAGCGGUGAAAUGCGCAGAUAUCAGGAGGAACACCGGUGGCGAAGGCGGUUCUCUGGGCCUUACCUGACGCUGAGGAGCGAAAGCAUGGGGAGCAAACAGG
rnacentral:rRNA from 1 species